rnacentral:rRNA from 1 species
UACGUAGGGUGCAAGCGUUGUCCGGAAUUAUUGGGCGUAAAGAGUUCGUAGGCGGUUUGUCGCGUCCGUUGUGAAAACUCGGGGCUUAACCCCGGGCCUGCAGUGGGUACGGGCAGACUAGAGUGCGGUAGGGGAGACUGGAAUUCCUGGUGUAGCGGUGAAAUGCGCAGAUAUCAGGAGGAACACCGGUGGCGAAGGCGGGUCUCUGGGCCGUAACUGACGCUGAGGAGCGAAAGCAUGGGGAGCGAACAGG